GGUGGCUCAGUGGUAGAGCACUUGCCUUGCAAGGAUGAGGCCCUGGGUUCAAUUCCUCAGCACCA
rfam:Dipodomys ordii contig_42052, whole genome shotgun sequence.